rnacentral:rRNA from 1 species
UGUUGUAGAAUCACUGGUGAAUAAGGGGUGGGCAAGUUCUGGUGUCAGCCGCCGCGGUAAAACCAGCACCUCGAGUGGUCAGGAGGUCUAUUGGGCCUAAAGCAUCCGUAGCCGGUUGCAUAAGUUUUCGGUUAAAUCUAUGCGCUUAACGUAUAGGCCGCCGAAAAUACUGUGCAGCUAGGGAGUGGGAGAGGUACACGGUACUCGAUAGGAAGGGGUAAAAUCCUUUGAUCUAUUGAUGACCACCUGUGGCGAAGGCGGUGUACCAGAACACGUUCGACGGUGAGGGAUGAAAGCUGGGGGAGCAAACCGGAUUAGAUACCCGGGUAGUCCCAGCUGUAAACGAUGCAGACUCGGUGAUGCAUUGGCUUGUGGCCAAUGCAGUGCCGCAGGGAAGCCGUUAAGUCUGCCGCCUGGGAAGUACGUACGCAAGUAUGAAACUUAAAGGAAUUGGCGGGGGAGCACCACAAGGGGUGAAGCCUGCGGUUCAAUUGGAGUCAACGCCAGAAAUCUUACCUGGGGAGACAGCAGAAUGAAGGUCAAGCUGAAGACUUUACCAGACACGCUGAGAGGUGGUGCAUGGCCGUCGCCAGCUCGUGCCGUGGGAUGUCCUGUUAAGUCAGGUAACGAGCGAGACCCCUGCGUCUAGUUGCUACCAUUACUCUCUGGAGCAGUGGAGCGAAUUAGACGGACCGCCACAGUUAAUGUGGAGGAAGGAAGGGGCCACGGCAGGUCAGUAUGCCCCGAAACCCUAGGGCUACACGCGGGCUGCAAUGGUAAUGACAUGUGUUCCGAAUCCGAAAGGAGGAGGCAAUCAUCAAACAUAUCUCAGUUAUGACUGAGGGC